GUGUAUCCCAGAGCUGACCCUGCGGCGCCUUUCCCAGGCUCGCGUCCGGAAGAACAUUCCAACACAGACCACAACACCUAUGGACCUGGAAAACAUUGUGCUCAGUGAAAGAAGCCAGACACAGAAGGACAAUGUUGUAUGAGGUACCUGGGAUGGGCAGAUUCUGAGAGAUGGAAAAUAGAAUAGAGAUUACCUGGAGAGAGGGGGGAAUUGUUGAAUGAGGACAGAGUUUGUGUUGGGGAUGAUGGAAAAGUUUUGGAUACAGAGAGUUAUGACGAGUAUACAGCAUUGUGAAUUUUUUUUCUUUUCUUUGUUUUUUGUGACAAGGUCUUAUUCUGUUGCCCAGGCUGGACUGCAGUGGUGCAAUCCUAGCUCACUGCAGCUUCGACCUCCCGUGCUCAAGUGAUUUUCCCACCUCAGCCUCCCGAGUAGCUGGGACUACAGGUGCGUGCCACCACGCCUGGCUGAUUUUUCUUGUAUUUUUUUGUAGAGAUGGGGGUAUCGCUAUGUUGCCCAGGCUGGUCUUGAACACUUGGGCUCAAGUAAUUCUCCCGCCUUGGCCUCCCAAAGUGCUGGGAUUACAGGUGUGAGCCACUGUGCCUAGUGUGAAUGCAUUUAAUGCCACUGAAUUGUACACUUAAUAAUGGUGAAAAAUAUAAAUAUUCUGUUAAAUAUUUUACCACAAUAA
rnacentral:lncRNA from 10 species